rnacentral:rRNA from 1 species
GACGAACGCUGGCGGCGUGCUUAACACAUGCAAGUCGAACGGAAAGGCCCUGCUUUUGUGGGGUGCUCGAGUGGCGAACGGGUGAGUAACACGUGAGUAACCUGCCCUUGACUUUGGGAUAACUUCAGGAAACUGGGGCUAAUACCGGAUAGGAGCUCCUGCUGCAUGGUGGGGGUUGGAAAGUUUCGGCGGUUGGGGAUGGACUCGCGGCUUAUCAGCUUGUUGGUGGGGUAGUGGCUUACCAAGGCUUUGACGGGUAGCCGGCCUGAGAGGGUGACCGGCCACAUUGGGACUGAGGUACGGCCCAGACUCCUACGGGAGGCAGCGGUGGGGAGUAUUGCACAAUGGGCGGGCGCCUGAUGCAGCAACGCCGCGUGCGGGAUGACGGCCUUCGGGUUGUGAACCGAUUUCGCCUGUGACGAAGCGUGAGUGACGGUAAUGGGUAAAGAAGCACCGGCUAACUACGUG